ACGGAAGGCAGCAGUGGGGAAUAUUGGGCAAUGGGCGAAAGCCUGACCCAGCGACGCCGCGUGAAGGAAGAAGGUCCUCGGAUUGUAAACUUCUUUUAUAUGGGACGAAACAAAUGACGGUACCAUAUGAAUAAGCCACGGCUAACUACGUGCCAGCAGCCGCGGUAAUACGUAGGUGGCAAGCGUUAUCCGGAUUUACUGGGUGUAAAGGGUGUGUAGGCGGGACUGCAAGUCAGAUGUGAAAACUAUGGGCUUAACUCAUAGCCUGCAUUUGAAACUGUAUCUCUUGAGUGCUGGAGAGGUAGAUGGAACUCCUUGUGUAGCGGUGAAAUGCGUAGAUAUAAGGAAGAACACCAGUGGCGAAGGCGAUCUACUGGACAGUAACUGACGCUGAGGCGCGAGAGCGUGGGGAGCAAACAGGAUUAGAUACCCUGGUA
rnacentral:rRNA from 1 species